rnacentral:rRNA from 1 species
GACGAACCGUGCGAACGUUGUUCGGAAUCACUGGGCUUAAAGGGCGCGUAGGCGGGCUCACAAGUCAGGGGUGAAAUCCCACGGCUCAACCGUGGAAGUGCCUUUGAUACUGUGGGUCUUGAGGGAGGUAGGGGCGUGCGGAACUUCCGGUGGAGCGGUGAAAUGCGUAGAUAUCGGAAGGAACACCGGUGGCGAAGGCGGUUCUCUGGGCAUUACCUGACGCUGAGGAGCGAAAGUGUGGGGAGCGAACAGG